rnacentral:misc_RNA from 1 species
ACUUAAUCCAAUUCAGCUCACUAACUGCUUAGUCAUAACAAAAGUAUGGAAAAUUUUCUGGUGGAAACAGUUAACAAUGGUAUCAGGAAAGUAAUGGACGUAAUUUUCUCUUUUUGAUGUCGAAGAAAAUAUAAAUUGCUUCAUUUUAUUGUCUGAGUUAAAAUUACCUCCCACCACAACCCUUGUUCCCUGGUCUUCCCACUCUUCUAAUUCUUGUUACAGAUAUUUUGGGAUAUUGAUAUUCUUUUUGUAUGUAUGACAGCCCACUAGCAGUUGCCCAGGC